rnacentral:tRNA from 1 species
CCCGCGAUAGCUCAGCUGGUAGAGCAUCUGCCCAGUGUGCGGAGCCGCUGGUUCGAUUCCGGCUCACGGCG